GAUGAACGCUAGCGGCAGGCCUAACACAUGCAAGUCGAGGGAGAAGCCCUUUCGGGGGCAGAAACCGGCGCACGGGUGCGUAACGCGUAUGCAACCUACCUUUCACAGGGGGAUAGCCCGAAGAAAUUUGGAUUAAUACCCCAUAAUAUUGUUGGAUGGCAUCAUCUGGCAAUUAAAGCUACGACGAUGGAAGAUGGGCACGCGUCCUAUUAGCUAGUUGGAGUGGUAACGGCACCCCAAGGCUACGAUAGGUAGGGGUCCUGAGAGGGAGAUCCCCCACACUGGUACUGAGACAGGGACCAGACUCCUACGGGAGGCAGCAGUGAGGAAUAUUGGUCAAUGGUCGGAAGACUGAACCAGCCAUGCCGCGUGCAGGAAGAAUGCCUUAUGGGUUGUAAACUGCUUUUAUAUGGGAAGAAUAAGGCGUACGUGUACG
rnacentral:rRNA from 1 species